GUGCCAGCAGCCGCGGUAAUACGUAGGGUGCAAGCGUUAAUCGGAAUUACUGGGCGUAAAGCGUGCGCAGGCGGUUUUGUAAGACAGUCGUGAAAUCCCCGGGCUCAACCUGGGAACUGCAUUUGAUACUGGAUGACUAGAGUUGAGUAGAGGGGAGUGGAAUUUCAGGUGUAGCGGUGAAAUGCGUAGAGAUCUGAAGGAACACCAGUGGCGAAGGCGGCUCCCUGGACUCAAACUGACGCUGAGGUACGAAAGCGUGGGUAGCAAACAGGAUUAGAUACCCUGGUAGUCCACGCCGUAA
rnacentral:rRNA from 1 species